rnacentral:lncRNA from 1 species
AUGCACCUGGGGAUUGCAGCUCCAUGCACCUGGGAUUGCAGCUCCAUGCACCUGGGGAUUGCAGCUCCAUGCACCUGGGGAUUGCAGCUCCAUGUGCCAGGGUUAUCAGAGCUCCACACACAGGGAAUUUGGGCUCUGUGCAUGAAGUGUCAGAACUCCACACAUCGGGGGUAUGGAUGCCUCAUGUCCUGGGGUACCAGACCUUCCUGCACUGGGGGCUCUGGGAUACCUCCAUGUCUGGAGUAUCAAACCUCUGGGAAUCUGUGGCUCUGCGCACGGGGAUACCGGAGCUCUGUGUGCCCGGUGAUGCUCCAUCCUCCGGGGUACCGGAGCUCCAAAUACCGGGGAGUGGAUGCUCCAUCCUCCAGGGUACCGGAGCUCCAAAUACCGGGGAGUGGAUGCUCCAUCCUCCGGGGUACCGGAGCUCCAAAUACCGGGGAGUGGAUGCUCCAGGGAGUGGAUGCUCCAUCCUCCGGGGUACCGGAGCUCCAAAUACCGGGGAGUGGAUGCUCCACAUUCCGGGGUACCAGAGCUCCAAAUACCGGGGAGUGGAUGCUCCAUCCUCCAGGGUACCAGAGCUCCAAAUACCGGGAUACCGGAGCUCCACACUCCGGGGUACCAGAGCUCCAAAUACCGGGGAGUGGAUGCUCCAUCCUCCAGGGUACCGGAGCUCCAAAUACCGGGGAGUGGAUGCUCCAUCCUCCGGGGUACCGGAGCUCCAAAUACAGGGGAGUGGAUGCUCCAUCCUCCGGGGUACCAGAGCUCCAAAUACCGGGAUACCGGAGCUCCAAAUACCGGGGUACUGGAGCUCCACACUCCGGGGUACCGGAGCUCCAAAUACCGGGGAGUGGAUGCUCCAUCCUCCGGGGUACCAGAGCUCCAAAUACCGGGGAGUGGAUGCUCCAUCCUCCGGGGUACCGGAGCUCCAAAUACCGGGGAGUGGAGGCUCCACACUCCGGGGUACCGGAGCUCCAAAUACCGGGAUACCGGAGCUCCAUCCUCCGGGGUACCGGAGCUCCAAAUACCGGGAUACCGGAGCUCCGCGCCCCGGGGGAAGUGGGGCUCCACCCUCCAGGAUACCAGAGCUGCAAGCCCCGGGCUAGCGGAGCUCCCCGCCCCCGUGCCCGGCCGCUCCGGAGCCGCCCCGGG